rnacentral:tRNA from 1 species
UGCCCUGUCGUCUAACGGUAAGACAACAGACUCUGACUCUGUUUAUCGAGGUUCGAAUCCUCGCGGGGCAUCCA